AUUCCCAUGAUGUAUAAUAAUUUUAUCGCUUUAAUUUUUAUUGCUUUGUGUAGGUAGUUUCUAACACAAGAAUAAAAUUAAUCAUUUUCCAAAAAAAGAACAAAAAUAAAAAACCCAAUCCAACAUUGAGUAUUUUACUCAAAGACCAAACCAUUUCAAACCUUCCAUCUCAAUCCACUUCAACCAUUUUCAAACUUUCAAACCAUUCGAUCA
rnacentral:lncRNA from 1 species